rnacentral:rRNA from 1 species
GGCGAACGGGUGAGUAACACGUGAGUAACCUGCCCCCUUCUUUGGGAUAACUGUCGGAAACGAUGGCUAAUACCGGAUACACACCUGAGAUCGCAUGGUUUUUGGUGGAAAGUUUUUCGGUGGGGGAUGGGCUCGCGGCCUAUCAGCUUGUUGGUGGGGUGAUGGCCUACCAAGGCUUUGACGGGUAGCCGGCCUGAGAGGGCGACCGGCCACACUGGGACUGAGACACGGCCCAGACUCCUACGGGAGGCAGCAGUGGGGAAUAUUGCACAAUGGGCGCAAGCCUGAUGCAGCGACGCCGCGUGAGGGAUGACGGCCUUCGGGUUGUAAACCUCUUUCAGCACCGACGAAGCGAGAGUGACGGUAGGUGCAGAAGAAGCGCCGGCCAACUACGUGCCAGCAGCCGCGGUAAGACGUAGGGCGCGAGCGUUGUCCGGAUUUAUUGGGCGUAAAGAGCUCGUAGGCGGCUCGUUGCGUCAAUCGUGAAAACUCAGGGCUUAACUCUGAGCUUGCGGUUGAUACGGGCGGGCUAGAGUUCGGUAGGGGAGACUGGAAUUCCUGGUGUAGCGGUGAAAUGCGCAGAUAUCAGGAGGAACACCGGUGGCGAAGGCGGGUCUCUGGGCCGAUACUGACGCUGAGGAGCGAAAGCGUGGGGAGCGAACAGGAUUAGAUACCCUGGUAGUCC